GAUGAACGCUGGCGGCGUGCCUAAUACAUGCAAGUCGAGCGAACAGACGAGGAGCUUGCUCCUCUGAUGUUAGCGGCGGACGGGUGAGUAACACGUGGAUAACCUACCUAUAAGACUGGGAUAACUUCGGGAAACCGGAGCUAAUACCGGAUAACAUGUUGAACCGCAUGGUUCAACAGUGAAAGACGGUCUUGCUGUCACUUAUAGAUGGAUCCGCGCCGCAUUAGCUAGUUGGUAAGGUAACGGCUUACCAAGGCAACGAUGCGUAGCCGACCUGAGAGGGGGAUCGGCCACACUGGAACGGAGACGCGGUCCAGGGGCCUACGGGAGGCAGCAGUAGGGAAUCGUCCGCAAUGGGCGAAAGCCUGACGGAGCAACGCCGCGUGAGUGAAGAAGGUGUUCGGAUCGGAAUACUCUGUUAGUAGGGAAGAACAAAUGUGUAAGUAGCUAUGCACGUCUUGACGGUAACGGAUCAGAAAGCCACGGCUAACUACGUG
rnacentral:rRNA from 1 species